AUAAAGUACGAGUGGGCUAUCUGUCUCAGGGAAGGCUGUCUUCUAGGAAGUUUUCUAAAGGAAACUGUUUUAUAUUAACGUUACAGAUGGAAAAAAAAAUCCACGCAAACUAGCUUGUUUGUCUCGGAUCUAAUCUGGAUUGAACUCGUAGUCUUUCAGAGUUAGAAGCUCAAAGACUUAUCGAAGUGCUCAUAAUUAUUUACCUUUACUCAGCUUACACACAAAUAUUUAUCCGCAAUAGACAGCUGAUGUUUAAAUCUGAAACUUUCUUUAGUUUGUUUGAAAGGAUUGUAUUUAUCAUCAAGAGUUAUGCUUGCUCAUGUAUAUGUGAUAAUUUCAUGGUACAACGAGAUAUGAUUUGUUUGUAGAUACUAAGAAGACACUAAUUAGCUCUGUAGUCAUGGAUAAUUAAAUUAGAUGAUAGCCAAAAUACAGAGUGUGUAGCAGGUGGCUGAAUUCUGCAAAGCACAACUAGCUUGAUAGUUAAAAUCAUUUUAUUUAUAGACUACUAAUUUCAUAGCAAAUAUCUUCUUGAUUGGUAGAACAUUAAGAGUGCUAUAGCACAAUUUUGUAUACACUAAUCACAUUCUUAAAACAAUAGAUGAAAACAGCCAAGCGUUAGUUACGUGCUUGCGAAGCCACAGCAGAGGAGAAAACGUUCUGCAUAAUAUGAUACUGAAGUAAUAUUUAUAAGCUCGGCUUUUUUAUUUGAAUCCUGAGUAGCGACUGGGCGAGAGUUUUUCGCAUUGCAGCAGAAGUAAUGACAACAGUACCUUGGGACAGAUCCUUUGAAAGGGCCAUAGGCAAAUAAAAUCAGGACUAUUGCCAAUUAACUCAGAGCACUGCAGAAGUAUGCGAAUUUAUUUAAGAGGAUGAUGAUUUUGAAUAUCAGCAAACAGCAGUUAACUGGAAGGAAGAUGUCUUCUUGAAGUUAUGAUAGCAGCAGUCAAGGUACCAUAGCAAUCAGAUAUAAUGUAAUAAUUAUAAGUUAAUCUGUAUGUCGAGCAGUAAGCGAGUUUAUUUUAUUAAUUAUAAAAGUAUCUAAAUUUCAUCUCUUCUGCUAAGAAUGCAAAUACUGUGAAACAUUGCCCACUUUUCUACUUGUUAUGUAAUAGUUGUAUUUUGUAAGCUGCAGGCAAACGCAGUAGCAUUUUCACUGUAAAUUAAUUUUAGUUGCUGUACCAAGAAUAGAUACCAGUAAAUGAUUUAAUUUCAA